UACAGGAAGUGAUACUUUACACUGCCAUGCCACGCGGGGACGUGAAUCUGAUGAUAAGUUCAUACAUGGGAAGUGCCAUCACAGGCCUACGGUUUGCGUCGUUACCGUUUAUGGAGUACCAAAUGUUGUUGUUAAUAAGGAGGAAAUUUUAAGACACUGACCGAAAAACGCCGUCAAAAUGGCUACACCCGGUGUUUGGAGCAGAGGCGGAUAGUGCUAAUGCUCGUGUGUGUACUGACAACCUCCCCUAAGUUAAGGCUGCCCCAGUGUUUCAACAACAUUGUGUCUGUAGACUGGGCUCCUGCAGUUAACCUUGGUUAUCAGAGAGGUAUGCCCAUGUCGGAUACAUCACAUCUACAUGAGGUGAGGAUGAAGUCCAGAGACGAUCUCAGGUGGUGCAGAGGCCUUGCUGGAUCUCCAUGAGUCAGCCUAUUACCCAGAGCCAGAGGACGUCACUGAAAUGUUACACAAUCUAUAAGGACUGCCAUAUCAGCAGGGGUUUGCAGCUACACUGAUCACCCGCUGUCCACACCACCAGUGGCACUAUUCAUGCUCAUCAGAUUCAUCCAGAUGACCAUAUGGGCAGGAGAGGAGCAAGAGAUCUACACAAGAGAAUUCAUUAGCGGCCUCGGACUGCACAGCACCAUCAUCCCUCUGUUUCUUUCAGGUCACCGUUUCAUGUUUUCCUCUUCACUGGUGAGAUCUUGAUGUCUUUUCUUCUGCCUGCCAUUCGUCUGUUUAAGAUGCUGGAUGGUACCCAAACACUUGAAGGUCCCAUUGACCAUGAUGGCCAGUCGAGUGCAGAGGGCCUCACACUCCUCCAUGCUGGUGGAAAAACAGACAACCUGGGCAAUAAUAAUAUGUAUUCUAAAAUGAUGCCACAUGAAUGGAUCAAUAGUUAUAUGAGUAUAAAAACAAAAGAAGAAGAAAUCGGAGCAUCUCAUUGGUCGAAAGACCGACCAGAAGUCGAAGUCCGCUAACAUAAUUUCCACGCUUUUAUCACAAAAUGUAAUGAAUGAUGAACGAAUCACGGAAUUAUCACGUGGGGCGCCCGCGCACCAGCGGAGUUCUAAAUUAACACGUCUCUCUCUCUCUCUCUCUGUGAAGAGCCGCCCCGCCCCUCAGUGAUCAGAGCGACAGGGAGUUUUUGUUUAUGACGCUGUGGAAAAAGACUGCAGCCAUCGGCCACUAUCAGAGCCAAGUUCCGCCGAUUCCGAUAGUUUGUAAAACGUCCCAUCGGCGACCUCUAAUCCAUAUACGUGAAUGUAUUAAUAAAAAAAACGCGAGGACAUAACAGAGCUAUAACAGACACCCAGACAAAAUAACACCAGAGAUAAAUAUACCUCAUUAUGCUGCCUACUGAUGGUAACUGCUGUCUGGCUCAAAGCUCAAUCAGUGUGUGGGUUUA